rnacentral:rRNA from 1 species
GGACUACUGGGGUAUCUAAUCCUGUUUGCUCCCCACGCUUUCGUGCAUGAGCGUCAGUACAGGCCCAGGGGAUUGCCUUCGCCAUCGGUGUUCCUCCGCAUAUCUACGCAUUUCACUGCUACACGCGGAAUUCCAUCCCCCUCUGCCGUACUCCAGCUCUACAGUCACAAAUGCAGUUCCCAGGUUGAGCCCGGGGAUUUCACAUCUGUCUUAUAGAACCGCCUGCGCACGCUUUACGCCCAGUAAUUCCGAUUAACGCUUGCACCCUACGUAUUACCGCGGCUGCUGGCAC